rnacentral:miRNA from 1 species
AAGUGGUGUCAUGUACGAUUGUG